rnacentral:rRNA from 1 species
UACGUAGGGUGCGAGCGUUGUCCGGAAUUAUUGGGCGUAAAGGGCUCGUAGGCGGUUUGUCGCGUCGGGAGUGAAAACUCAGGGCUUAACCCUGAGCCUGCUUCCGAUACGGGCAGACUAGAGGUAUGCAGGGGAGAAUGGAAUUCCUGGUGUAGCGGUGAAAUGCGCAGAUAUCAGAAGGAACGCCGGUGGCGAAAGCGACUCUCUGGCUCGUAUCUGACGCUGAGGCGCGAAAGCUUGGGUAGCAAACGGG